UGACACACACACAGAAGAAACUAUGAUUUCUCUUAUUCUAACUCUGGGCACAUUCUGUCUGCUUGCUCAAGUUUCUCAUGAAGAGGUUCAGUCUCCUGAGUCUCUGUCUGUUAAAGCAGGAGAAUCUGUCUCUAUCAGCUGCACUGGGACCAGCGGAGUUGGUGAUGACAUGAGCUGGUAUCUGGAGAAAACUGGAGAAGCUCCUAAACUCCUGAUCUACACAGCCACUGAACUUGAAACUGGAGUCCCAGAUCGAUUCAGUGGAAGUGGAUCUGAACCUGAUUUUACACUGAAUAUACGUGGAGUCCAGCCUGAGGAUGCAGGAGUUUAUUACUGUAUGGGGUAUUAUAGUGAUACAGUGAUCACACGGUGAAACAGCAUCGUACAAAAACCUCCCUCAGUCUGACACAUUGAAAAUAUGUGAGUGCUGAGUUCACAAUAUCAAUAUGAUAAAUACUCUUACUCCCUAGUUAGUUCAGUAUGAAUUACGUUUGAAUAAACAUACUGGCAUUUGUUUGUAACCAAACAUAUUCUUAAAUUUAUCCUUUUAAUUGUUUUAAUCCUGAAGACAAUAGCACAAAACUAUAAAUUUCAAACUAUAUGCCAUAAUUUUUACCAUUUUAAACAACAGUCGGUAAGAUUUUAAUUAUUCAGUCUGUUCAUGAAAUCACAAUUGUCAUUAUUUCAGCUGAAAAGAAUAUAAAUGAAGAAAAGCUAGCCUUAUGUCAAUUAUCUCCAAUUAUCUUUGUCUCAGUUGUCAAGAUUCACAAUUAAUGAUUUCAAAGAGCUUUUAUUUAAAAUAACAUGCUUUUAUAUAAAAACAAAUUCUUACUGAACUUGUUAAAGCAGGCUUAAAGAAAGAUUAACAUAAAAAGUGAAUUAGUACACAGUCGUGUUUGUCCAUUAGU